rnacentral:rRNA from 1 species
CAGUAGCCGCGGGAAUACAGAGGGUGCGAGCGUUAAUCGGAUUUACUGGGCGUAAAGCGUGCGUAGGCGGCUUUUUAAGUCGGAUGUGAAAUCCCUGAGCUUAACUUAGGAAUUGCAUUCGAUACUGGGAAGCUAGAGUAUGGGAGAGGAUGGUAGAAUUCCAGGUGUAGCGGUGAAAUGCGUAGAGAUCUGGAGGAAUACCGAUGGCGAAGGCAGCCAUCUGGCCUAAUACUGACGCUGAGGUACGAAAGCAUGGGGAGCAAACAGGAUUAGAUACCCCCGUAGUCCCUGUCUCUAUACA